GCACCUACAACAUGGUAUGAAGUUAACACUAAUGUAAACAGCCCAAAACUUAUAUGAUAUAAUGCAGUUAAAAAAUUGUUUUCACAAGUUAGAGAUAGGCGCUCAGUUGUUAAAACUAAUAAUAGUUUUUAGGUUGUGAUUAGUGAAAACACAACUUGUUCUGCAAUAAAGACUAAAAACCUCCCCUCAAUUUAUAACAGACCAUUAAAGUCAGAUGGCUCAUAAAGUGGUAUGGUGGACUUGUCUUCUGCAUUUGAUAUUAUACGAGACUAAGAAAUUGGAAUGUAGCAGUGUCUACGGUUCUUGGUGUUCAUGGAGAAGGACUUAACCAAAAGGAUAGAAUCUGAAUAUUGUUUUGGGACCAAACUCGAUUUAUCCUACAAAGAAAAAAUAGACAAGUUUGUGGAGUCCAUGCUUCACUUAAAAGUAUAUGUCCAUGAUGAAUUCGCAAUGAAGAUUUCACUUGGAUAAAAGUUUCAUAUAAUCAGGUUCCAUCUCAAGGAGUAUCUCGAUAGGCAGAAAAAUCCGCUCGGUAUUACAUCAGAACAAACAUGUGCAUAAAAACUUAAACAAGACACUGAAAAGGUUCGUUGCGUCUGAAAGAAACGUCCAUCACGGUGAAAAACUAAGAGCUAUGGUUGUUGAGCGAGAUUAUAAGAAGAUUU